rnacentral:rRNA from 1 species
GUUUGAUCCUGGUUCUUAACGAACGCUGGCGGCAGGCCUAACACAUGCGAGUCGAGCGCAUCCUUCGGGAUGAACGGCGGACGGGUUAGUAACACGUGGGAAUAUACCCAAAGGUACGGAAUACCCACUGGAAACGGUGAGUAAUACCGUAUGUGCCCUUCGGGGGAAAGAUUUAUCGCCUUUGGAUUAUCCCGCGUUAGAUUAGAUAGUUGGUGGGGUAACGGCCUACCAAGUCCACCAUCUAUAGCUGGUUUGACAGGAUGAUCACCCACACUGGGACUGAUACACGGCCCAUACUCCUACGGGAGGCAGCAGUGGGGAAUCUUGGACAAUGGGCGCCAGCCUGAUCCAGCCAUGCCGCGUGACUGAUGAAGGCCCUAGGGUCGUAAAGCUCUUUCGCCAGGGAUGAUAAUGACAGUACCUGGUAAAGAAACCCCGGCUAACUCCGUGUCACAGCCGCGG